rnacentral:rRNA from 1 species
GACGAACGCUGGCGGCGUGCUUAACACAUGCAAGUCGAACGAAGUGGCGAACGGGUGAGUAACGCGUAAUCAACCUGCCCUUCAGAGGGGGACAACAGUUGGAAACGACUGCUAAUACCGCAUACUGAAGGAGGGGAUUGCGUCUGAUUAGCUAGUUGGAGGGGUAACGGCCCACCAAGGCGAUGAUCAGUCGCCGGGCUGGGGGGAUGAACGGGCAAAUUGGGAAUGGGAAACGGCCCAGAACGCUAAGGGAGGCAGGAAUUGGGGAACUUUCGAAAUGGAAGAAAGGCUGACGGAGCAACGCCGGCGGGGUGAUGACGGCCUUCGGGUUGGAAAGCUCUGUUAAUCGGGACGCGGUACCGGAAUAGAAAGCCACGGCUAACUACGUGCCAGCAGCCGCGGUAAUAC